rnacentral:lncRNA from 1 species
GCGAGAGGAGAAAGCGAGGCCCGGGGACGGGACUGAGAGCUCUGAAAGGAGGGAGGCGGCUCCCGAGUACUCCGCGCGGGGCAGGCCCCGGCCUCGCCUCUUCGCCCAUUUUUAAGGCUCGAGUUAGAGGCCACCUCCUCCGAGAAGCCUUCGGUGACACCACCUCUCCCAGACGGUUCCCCUUUCUGAUUCCCACAGCAUUUUCCAACCAUUCACGCCGUCUUCCUUCCUCAUUGUGGUUUGGACCUUCUCGAGAAAGAAUCUGGCCUCAGUCUCCCUCUUCCACACUCAGGGACCGCCACCAUCACAGGCACUCGGUAGAUGUCUGCUGAAUGAGGAUAACUUCUACCCAACACCGUGAAGCCUGGCCCAGGGUCUGGCAUACAGAUGCCGUGUUUGUAAGGUGACUAAAACCCAGUGGCCUCUGUAAAUUCCUAUUUUCCUUGGACUCUGAGCCCUCUGACCACCUUCUGGAAGCCGUGUCCCUGUCUUUUUUCCUUGUGCCCCAGGCUUCUCCACCCCCCUGUCUGGCUGUGCUGCCCCUGGAUCCCUUCGUGCCCCGUUCCCCGCACUAUGUCUCCUCAGUCCUCCUCCCUUUUCUCUAGGCUGCCUUUCCUUGGAGAGGUCCUAUGCAUGUAGCCUGUCUUGAUGUUUACUGUUUUACAGUGGCUUUUCUCAUCUGCAUAGUCUGUCCUCCUGUCUUUCCAUCCUGCUCCUGUUCCCACCGGCUCUGUCCUCUCCCUCAGAUGUCCAGCCACCACCUCAAUGUCAGCCGAAGCCCAGUGUCUCUCCAAAGCUCUUGAUCUCCAUUUCUGUCAGCGAUACCAUCAUUUCCCAGUCACUCCGUCCAGAAAGGUCAGCCCCUCCUUGUACUUUGCUCCCUAAAUCCAGUCCCCAAAUCGGCUGCUUCUUACUAUCUAGAUGGUUGCAGUGGAUUCUAUCCAGUCCCAUCCCCAGACCACCCUUCCCACUGUUAGUGGAGUUCCCUUCCUAAAAGACUUCAUUCCCUAGCUCUUCUCUUGCUCAGGUCAUUCUGAAACAUCCCCUCCCCCAUUCGUCUACUAAAUCAAGUCCAGACUCCUUUGCCUAAUGUUUAAGACCCUUCAUAAUUUAGCCCCAUCUGCCUUUUUAGGUUGCUGCUACUUUGUGCUCCAGGGUCACUCUUCUCACUGCCCUCUAAGUAUCAGCAAAUCUACAGCCUGGAUCCCUCAACAGCUUGCCCAUGAUCCCCAUCUCUGCCCUGUAACGUGGUCCCCAUUCCAUGCAUGCCUGAACAUGCGUGACCCUGCUGCUCCGUGGCUCAUGUCCUUAUCUCCUGCAUACAUCAUUGUCUAUACCACGCCCCACCCCUGCCUCAAUCUCUCACACUACUGAAGGUACAGUGUAAUCUUGGUCUUCCACCUUGAAAACCUAUGCUGACCAUUCUCUCGAGGCUGAGUUAGUCAUCCAUACCAUUCUUUGGGCAUUCAUAAUCUAUCAUUUGGUAUUGUUAGUGAUCUUUUUAGAGAUUCAACCAGAGCUUGCAAGUUAAUUGAAAACAGGUUACUAUGCUCACAUGUCCCACAUUUCUGGAACAAUUCAGAAUUCAAAUAUUUUGCUCUACUGCUUCAUAUAACAAAUAAAAAUGACCCAAAAUUCUAAUAGUUUGGCAUUAAACAUAUCUCUUAGAUGGCCUCUUUCACCGGCUUCUCCCCAAAUGCUGGAUCAGGCCAGAUGAGGCCAUUACUUCUGCUCACUGAGGGGAAAGAAUUAUUUGUUACAGGAAACAGGGCUGACCCUGGAAACAAGAUAACUUAGAGAUAUACCCAGCCAUGGAGACCAGGUGUCAGCAAGGCCGGAACUGACCAAGGUCAACCACCAAGGAAGUCAGGGAAAUAGGUCAAGAUAUAGACAGCUAUAUAGGGUUGUUCAGCACCUAAAUGUGAAAACGCUGAACAUCUUCCUGGGUAUGUCUUUGACAGGUGUGAGUUGUAGGAGAUGCCUAACAUCUCUUGCAACUGAACUGCUGAAAAAAAUCUUAUGGUAGCCCCUCGACUGUUUUUUGCUUCAGAAAAUAGAAUUCUGUCCUUAUGUAGAUUUUUCUGUCCCACACCAGGCCACAUAGUGAAUUCUCAAGAGAGCCAGGACUGGGACCAAAUUUUCUGACUUCAAGUAUGGGGCCUUUUCAUUAGACUGUUGGGCCCCUCUGCUGCUGUUGCAUGGGCCGUGGUCCGACAGAGCUGUCAUUGCAGGCGAUGAUGCAGUGAAUGGGACAGGAGCCAGGAGGCUGGAACCCCUCGUCUCCACCAUUACCCAGGGUGUGCCUUGGCCUCGUCAUUGGUGAUUAGUUUGUGAACUUUGUGUAGGGCAGAGAUGAUCCAUAAAUACCAGAAGGCAGUCCCACUGCUCUCUCUUUUUUUUUUUUUUUUUUUUUUUGAGACAGGGUCUCACUCUGUCAUCAGGCUGGAGUGCAGUGGCGCGAUCUUGGCUCACUGCAACCUCUGCCUCCCGGGCUCAAGCGAUUCUCCUGCCUCAGCCUCCCGAGUAGCUGGGACUGCAGGCAUGCACCACCAUGCCCAGCUAUUUUUGUAUUUUUAGUAGAGGUGGGGUUUCAUCACGUUGGUCAGGAUGGUCUUGAUCUCUUGACCUCGUGAUCCACCCACCUUGGCUUCCCAAAGUGCUGGGAUUACAGGCAUGAGCCAUUGUGCCCAGCCUCUCCUCUUUUCUUUCUAUACACAAGCCUAGGGAGAGGAAACUUAAUGUAUCUCACAUUCAAAGUUCCCAAGUCAAUAUACAGUGUAGCCGGGUGUGGUGGCUCACACCUGUAAUCCCAGGACUUUCAGAGGCUCAGGCAGACUGAUCACUUGAGGACAGGAGUUUGAGACCAGCCUGGCCAACACGGCAAAACCCAGUCUCUACUAAAAAUACAAAAAAAAAAAAAAAAAAAAAAAAAAUUAGCUGGGUGUGGUGGCGGAUGCCCGUAAUCCCAGCUACUCCAGAGGCUCAGGCAAGAGAAUCGCUUGAACCUGGGAGGCAGAGAUUGCAGUGAGCCGAGAUCACGACAUUGCACUCCAUCCUGGGCAACAGAGUGAGACUCCAUCUCAAAAAGUAAAAAAUAAAAAAUAAUUUAAAAAAAAUAUAUAUAUACACACAGUGUAAUUGUACUCAACUCUGGAUUUAGGUUCUCAAUCAAUUUCUGAAUACAUUAUAGCAGUCCCAAUUGUUUUUGAAAUUUCCUGAAACUACUCUUAUAUUGCUAGGACCAGAAUCCUUAGAAACUCUAAAAGUCAAGAUAUCACCCCUGCUUUUUCUCUUUGCAUGUUGCCUGUUGCUUCCCAUUCCUUGGUAUAAUCAAGGUGCUGUUUGAGCAGCAAGAUAAGGAGAGUGGGUUUCCUCUCCCUCCCCACCUGUCCUUCCUGCUUCUCCUUCUCCCUUCCUGCCCUUCCUCCUCCUCUUCCUCCUCAUUCUUCUCUACCUCCCUCCACUCCCACCCAAGGGUCUUGGGUUGAAUUUUGAACUUUAAAUGUUGACUUGUGCUGACCAGUGACUUCACCCACUGAAGAGGGGGAAUGGGGUGAUGGAAGUGAGGGUGGACUUCAUUUAUGCCUCAUCUGGACCAGAAUUUCUGUCCCAUGUGACCUCAGACCUAUUGGUUCCUCUAGUCCUGGUUGCUCAUCUCGCCCACUUGCACAGCCCACCUGUGUGGCCGACUCAGGAUUGACCCACCUGCUCUCUUCAGGCCAUAUUCCCACGCAGAAGUGGGUCCCACUCCUCAGGCCUCUGUGCUGGCCCCGUCUGUGGGGUUAGCAAGCAGCCCUGCUCUCCAUUUCCAGCUCAGAAGCAACUGGAUCGUUGUAAGUGAUUUCUAUCUUUCCCAGCGCCCUGUUGGGCCUGUGGGGACUUGGCUUGGUUGGCUCAAUUUUCUGAGUACAAGUAGAAACCUGAGGUUGAGUGAGGCAGGCAGUGGCUGGGCUGAGAUAUUGUAGGAGGGUAAUAUCAGGUCAUUUCUCCACCAUGCAGAGUGUAGUUUUUGUUGGUCUGUGUGUCGGUGUGGUUAGGGAGGUAUUAGUAUGUAUAUUUGAGUGAGCAUACAUACUUAGAUUGCAUGUGGGCUCUGAUGUUUGUGGGUAGCAGGGGAUAUGGAUAUGUGUUCACUAUGUUAGUAAGCACAUAUAAUGGUAUCUGUUGAAGAAAGUCGUCUUGUGAAAUGUGGGUGUUAUGGUAGAGUGUACAUUUUGGUGGAGUAUGUCUGAGUGUAGCUGGUGCAAAUACUAAUUUGAUCUUUCCUCUUUACAGACCUCAUUGGUGACAACUUGACUGUGCUGCCCAGAGCUGAUAAGAAACAUCACCCGGGGAAGACCAGCUGCCUCUUCCUUGCUUCCUAAUCAGGGUGGAAAUACUGCUAAAUAUAUCACAACUCUUUGCAAGCA